rnacentral:lncRNA from 1 species
UUUGAGAAGCAAGGAAUUCGAUAAUUUCCAAAUUCCCUUCCAGUUCAGAGGUUCUGAUUGCUAAAUCAGAAUCUCUACUUGCUCACGUAAGCCCUUCUGAGUUUCCCUCCUCUUCUGGCUUAGGCUGACCUCUGUCUUUAGACGCAGUCUGCCUUCCUUCCCAAUUUAACAGUGCCACAAUUCCUGUGUCACCUGGGAUUUUCCUCCUCAACCAGGUGAAGGAAAAUGGAAGCUGGAAAACCUGCCCUUUCCCAUCUUCUGAGCUUGGAGGCAAGCACAGAGGCUCUUUUCUCUUUAAAAGGUUUUACUCCUUGUCAUUUGGAAAAUAGACAAGGGGAAAUUAUAAAAGCUUCAGAAAACUUGUUAAUAUCCUGGACAUUUCUUGCCAAGGCUUCUUCCUAUACAUAUACACAAAAAUAUGUUUUAUGGAAAUGGGAAUUACAGAAACUUGCUCUAAAGAAAAAUUGCUGGAUUAAGGGAUGUGAAUAUUUUAGCAGUGCUUGACACUUAGCCAAAUUGCCUUCCAGAAGUGAUGAAACAACUUACCCUCCCACAGGCAGCUCAUGAAACCUCCUGUCUCACCAAACUAGGUAUUGGAAUUCUAAAAAGAAAAUAAAGCUGUUUGCCAAUUUGA